UACAGAGGUCUCAAGCGUUGUUCGGAUUCAUUGGGCGUAAAGGGUGCGUAGGCGGCGCGGUAAGUCGGGUGUGAAAUCUCGGAGCUUAACUCCGAAACUGCAUUCGAUACUGCCGUGCUUGAGGACUGGAGAGGAGACUGGAAUUUACGGUGUAGCGGUGAAAUGCGUAGAUAUCGUGAGGAAGACCAGUGGCGAAGGCGGGUCUCUGGACAGUUCCUGACACUGAGACACGAAGGCCAGGGGAGCAAACGGG
rnacentral:rRNA from 1 species